UCGCUGUAUGAAAGGAGAGAAGGUUAGCACUCCCCUUGACAAGGAUGGAAGAGGCUUCGGCCUGCAACACGCAUACGGUUAAGGAGUACUAUGUAGCUGUUAGAAAAGAUGAAGUCACGAAAUUGA